AGUGAACGCUGGCGGCAGGCCUAAUACAUGCAAGUCGAACGGCAGCACAGCAGAGCUUGCUCUGUGGGUGGCGAGUGGCGGACGGGUGAGGAAUACAUGGGAAUCUGCCCAGUCGUGGGGGAUAACGUAUGGAAACGUACGCUAAUACCGCAUGCGCCCUACGGGGGAAAGUCGGGGACCGCAAGGCCUGACGCGAUUGGAUGAGCCCAUGUUCGAUUAGCUAGUUGGCGGGGUAAAGGCCCACCAAGGCGACGAUCGAUAGCUGGUCUGAGAGGAUGAUCAGCCACACUGGAACUGAGACACGGUCCAGACUCCUACGGGAGGCAGCAGUAGGGAAUAUUGGACAAUGGGGGCAACCCUGAUCCAGCCAUGCCGCGUGAGUGAAGAAGGCCCUCGGGUUGUAAAGCUCUUUUGUCCGGAAAGAAAGCAAUCGGUUAAUACCCGGUUGUUCUGACGGUACCGGAAGAAUAAGCACCGGCUAACUCCGUGCC
rnacentral:rRNA from 1 species